rnacentral:rRNA from 1 species
ACGGAAACCGGAGCUAAUACGAUAAUAUUUCGAACCGCAUGGUUCGAUAGUGAAAGAUGGUUUUGCUAUCACUUAUAGAUGGACCCGCGCCGUAUUAGCUAGUUGGUAAGGUAACGGCUUACCAAGGCGACGAUACGUAGCCGACCUGAGAGGGUGAUCGGCCACACUGGAACUGAGACACGGUCCCAGACUCCUACGGGAGGCGCAGCC